AGAGCGGGUUAUAGGAUCUGCGUACGCAGUGUACAAGCAGAAGAUGCAGAGCGGGUUAUAGGAUCUGCGUACGCAGUGUACAAGCAGAAGAUGCAGAGCGGGUUAUAGGAUCUGCGUACGCAGUGUACAAGCAGAAGAUGCAGAGCGGGUUAUAGGAUCUGCGUACGCAGUGUACAAGCAGAAGAUGCAGAGCGGGUUAUAGGAUCUGCGUACGCAGUGUACAAGCAGAAGAUGCAGAGCGGGUUAUAGGAUCUGCGUACGCAGUGUACAAGCAGAAGAUGCAGAGCGGGUUAUAGGAUCUGCGUACGCAGUGUACAAGCAGAAGAUGCAGAGCGGGUUAUAGGAUCUGCGUACGCAGUGUACAAGCAGAAGAUGCAGAGCGGGUUAUAGGAUCUGCGUACGCAGUGUACAAGCAGAAGAUGCAGAGCGGGUUAUAGGAUCUGCGUACGCGGUGUACAAGCAGAAGAUGCAGAGCGGGUUAUAGGAUCUGCGUACGCAGCGUACAAGCAGAAGAUGCAGAGCGGGUUAUAGGAUCUGCUUACGCGGCUGUACAAGCAGAAGAUGCAGGGCGGGUUAUAGGAUCUGCUUACGCAGUGUACAAGCAGAAGAUGGAGAGCGGGUUAUAGGAUCUGCUUACACAGUGUACAAGCAGAAGAUGCAGAGCGGUUUAUAGGAUCUGCGUACGCGGUGUACAAGCAGAAGAUGCAGAGCAGGUUAUAGGAUCUGCUUACGCAGUGUACAAGCAGAAGAUGCAGAGCGGUUUAUAGGAUCUGCGUACGCGGUGUACAAGCAGAAGAUACAGAGCGGGUUAUAGGAUCUGCUUACGCAGCGUACAAGCAGAAGAUGCAGAGCGGGUUAUAGGAUCUGCUUACGCGGUGUACAAGCAGAAGAUGCAGAGCGUGUUAUAGGAUCUGCGUACGCGGUGUACAAGCAGAAGAUACAGAGCGGGUUAUAGGAUCUGCUUACGCAGCGUACAAUCAGAAGAUGCAGAGCGGCUUAUAGGAUCUGCGUACGCGGUGUACAAGCAGAAGAUGCAGAGCAGGUUAUAGGAUCUGCUUACGCAGUGUACAAGCAGAAGAUGCAGGGCGGGUUAUAGGAUCUGCUUACGCAGUGUACAAGCAGAAGAUGCAGAGCAGGUUAUAGGAUCUGCUUACGCAGUGUACAAGCAGAAGAUGCAGAGCAGGUUAUAGGAUCUGCUUACGCAGUGUACAAGCAGAAGAUGGAGAGCGGGUUAUAGGAUCUGCGUACGCGGUGUACAAGCAGAAGAUGCAGAGCAGAAGGAUUGUUCUUCCGUCCUUGUUUGUUUGUACCAGAAUUCUCUAUUGUUUGCAUACAUUUUAGCCUCUGUGCCAUUUUCAGAAGCUUUAUUUUUCUCACUUACUUUUUGGUUUGGAUAAGACUUAAAUAUAAAAUCCAUCUGUGAAGCAUAUUGUAUACUCUCAUUGGAGGCUAAAACCCAUUUUUAAUUAAAACUUUAUCCAGC
rnacentral:lncRNA from 1 species